rnacentral:rRNA from 1 species
GUGCCAGCAGCCGCGGUAAUACGGAGGGUGCAAGCGUUGUCCGGAAUCACUGGGCGUAAAGGGUGCGCAGGCGGGGCCGCAAGUCGGAGGUGAAAGCCCAUGGCCCAACCAUGGAAGUGCCUUCGAAACUGUUGCUCUUGAGUCCCGGAGAGGCUGUCGGAAUUCGUGGUGUAGCGGUGAAAUGCGUAGAUAUCACGAGGAACACCAGAGGCGAAAGCGGACAGCUGGACGGGUACUGACGCUCGGGCACGAAAGCGAGGGUAGCAAACAGGAUUAGAAACCCCUGUAGUCC